rnacentral:tRNA from 1 species
GAUGGGUGGCAGAGUGGUUGAAUGCACCGGUCUUGAAAACCGGCGGCCCUUCGCGGGGCUCGUGGGUUCGAAUCCCACCCCAUC